rnacentral:rRNA from 1 species
GACGAACGCUGGCGGCGUGCUUAACACAUGCAAGUCGAACGGAAAGGCCCUGCAUGUUUGUGGUGCUCGAGUGACGAACGGGUGAGUAACACGUGAGUAACCUGCCCUUGACUUUGGGAUAACUUCAGGAAACUUGGGCUAAUACCGGAUAGGAGCUCCUGCUGCAUGGUGGGGGUUGGAAAGUUUCGGCGGUUGGGGAUGGACUCGCGGCUUAUCAGCUUGUUGGUGGGGUAGUGGCUGACCAAGGCUUUGACGGGUAGCCGGCCUGAGAGGGUGACCGGCCACCUUGGGACUGAGAUACGGACCAGAGUCCUACGGGAGGCAGCAGUGGGGAAUAUUGCACAAUGGGCGGAAGCCUGAUGCAGCAACGCCGCGUGCGGGAUGACGGCCUGCGGGUUGUAAAACGCUUUCGCUUGUGACGAAGCGUGAGUGACGGUAAUGGGUAAAGAAGCACCGGCUAACUACGUG